CCACAUAUUAACUGUACGAUUUCAUACUUUUCCUAAACCAAUAAUAGUAAAUACCAUAUAGACACAUCAAAAUAAAAUAAUAAUGUCAAAGGUAAAAUAAAAAAAAUAGUACUCAAAUAGUAUAAGAGAGAAAUUAUAUAAAAAAGAACUUAAUUAAAAAUCAUAGGGAUUUUGUUGCUAGUCUUUUCCGAGAAAGACAAGAAGAGAGAACAACGUGACAAAGUAGUAGAAGAAGCUCUUCCCAGCGGAAUACAACACCACCUCCACCACCGCCUCUGCCGCGUCUCCGACCUCCAGUCUUGGCGGGCUCGGGCUGCGAGAAGAAAAGGCUCGACGAGGUGGCUGCUGGUUCUUCUACUCCUCCCUCUCAUACAUACAAAAUUUGAUUUGCUUAAUGAAAUGGGAUUUAUUUUGACGAUAAAUAAUUAGUGGGACAAAUAUUAAUCAGUAAAUUUAAGUGUAUUUUUUGCCUUUUAGAGAUUAAUUUCAUAUAUGAGUAAUUGGGCAUGUUAUAUUAACCAUCCUAUAUAUCAAGCCAAUUUGUGUUUGUACAUUGGAAUUUGCUAUGAAAUGUGAUUUGGGCGUGGACCCAAAUUUCAAUUAAUACUUCCAUUUUCACCAAUUGAAUGGUAAUAUUUCAAUUUUUUCCUCCAAGUCGUGCUUUGAUAGGGUUGAUAUUUGCAGACAAUGACAAUUGACAUGAACUUGUGAAACGCAUUAAAUUUCACUGUGGCUCUUCAAAUUUUUUAAUUUAUUUUUUAUAUAACACAAAACAGAAUUAUGUCUAAUGUGCAUUGAGAGUCAUAAAUCCCAGUGCAUGUAUUAUCUACCUAAACCUAUCUAAAACUGUCUGAGUUCAUCCAAUUGUUCAAUGUAUUUUGGGAGUAUUAAAUCAAAAUCUUAAUUUUAAUUUUGAUUUCCAUGUUAUUAGGCCCGGGGGUGUAUUCUAGUUGCUUCAAGCCCAGAGAUUAUUACGCGUGUAAAGAAUGUAAACUAUUAAAUGAUUGCUCUUAAUUACUUUCAUAUGAGGUUCCUAGAAAACUUAGGUCAGCCUUUCUUGGCUUAGAAUGUUUGCAAGCUUUGGGCAUUUGCAAAUUCUCAUGUGUAAAAUUUUUAUGUGGUAAACAAUUCAUUUUCAAAUUCUCAUGUGUAAAUUUUUUAUUGUGAGAUACUGACUAACAAGGAUGUGUACCCUUCUCAUUGACGGGAAGAUCCUUAAUCGACAGUUGGUUGAAGGGAUGGAAAUGCAGCAGCUAAACGCUCAAAAACAGUGUGCAAAACACAUUUUGUUGGUUGAGUUAGGACGGAAUGAUGUCGGAAAGGCCCGUGCUAUGCAUGAGCUAUUUAAGAGGGUCUUUCAAACUCUCAAAACAGAUCCAAGUAGAAUUAGAGAUAGAGUUCUCACAGACAAGAAAAAGACCUGGUAGAAAACCCCAAGGUGAAGCUGGACCUUCAUGUAGGAGAAAUGCCCGAGCAUGCCGUAGGCUCCCUUUCUCUCUCUCUCUCCAUUGAGAGAUGGACACAAGAACCUUCAAGGGAAGAAAACUACUGUGGAGAAGCUACUGCCAACUUCCUAGCAUAAGAAAGUGGCAUCAUUCUUCCCUUUGGAGUUUCAUCAUGAGCCAGAAACCCUCACUCCCAUUCAGGCAAACAUAGCUAGGAUCUAGCCGCCACGUUGUCUCCACCUCCUGAAACAACUAGCAACCCUACACUUUAAAAGUUUUACUCUAGAUGAUUACAGGUUGGUUUAUUCUUUGACAGACAACUCGGAAUAAGAAAGGAAGCUCAAGCUUAGUGGAGUCAUUAACCAGGUCAUGCAAAGAGACCAAUAGUCGUAUUUCUCCAUCUCUCAGAUCCGAGGGCAAUAAUCAAUCAGAACCUCUACAAUUUGACAAUUAAUUUAUUCAUGCAAGUAGCUCACCAGUCAUUCUCCAGAAGAAACAGCAUAACUGGAAAGUGAAGAGAGAGCCCAAGAUGUCACUGAUCAGCCAAGUACUACUUGUGCUCAAGAAAUCCAAGUAACAACCAACACUCUCCCAUGCAUGAAGCUCAAACAAUGGUAAGUGCUCCUCAGUGUGUUUUUGAUGAUACAAGUGAGAGCUACCAAUCAAGUGGCACAAACCAGAGUCUAGCCCUGAUUGUCCAAGCAAUAAUGAACAAGCAUGGGGGUAUUGCAAAAGAUUUCCCACUAAAGUCUGGGUAGAGCUGGCUGAACUCAACAGCAGACACUUGUAUGGCUAUUUGAGAGCAAGAAGUGUUUACUCGCAUAAUGUAUUUGGACUGUUUCAUUCCUUUUGUUUCUGGCUCUUUAGCCACUUCAUUGUUGCUCUGUUCUGUUUGGUUGGUGAUUAAAAAAAAAAAGGUUUACGCUACUCCUACCCAUCAAGCAAUCUUCAAGAAACAUGGGUUUAUAUUUGAAGUGGCUUUAAUGAAUUCGUGGAGAUGAUACAUUUGAUUUAAAAAUGCAAAAACUUAUAACAGAUAUGAAGCAGAACAUGGAAUUGGUUGAUGCUACCAAGAAAAGGAAAAAACAAUGGUCAGUGGUCCUCCUCAGUGUGCUUUGGAUUGAUGAUACAAGCGACAGUUACCAAUCUAGUGGCACAACUGUGAACAGAGUCUAGCCCCGAUCCUCCGAGCAACAAUCAAUAAGCACGGGGAUAUUGCAAAGAUUGUCCACUAAUGUCCGGAUAGAACUGACUGACCUCAACAGCAACAAUCAACAAGCACGGGGAUAUUGCAAAGAUUGUCCACUAAUGUCCAGAUAGAGUUUACUCGGAUAAUCUAUGGUAGUGUAUGAUUGUUUUGUAUGGAUUUAACUUCUAUUAUCUUCAUUCAACUGUCAAUGAUUUUUUUUGGGGUUGAUAUCUUCAGUGUCAUCAUGGAUUGUUUACCACAUUAUUUGUAUUAAAAUCGGGGUAAGAGCAGCUGCACAUUUUUUCAGUCUAAACACUGGGAAAUGAUCUUUGUUCUAGUGCGACAAAUCAAGACACUCAAUAUUCGUAAAGAGACAGUUGCUCCUCGAUCAAUCUGGCAAGUCUAUUCAAUCAUAUUUGAAACUAGUGUGCAAGUAACAAGCAACAAUGGAUAGCCAUAUGCCUUAGGUUGGCCUAUUAAGGUGGCCUAUUUGUUCAUGGAGGCUGCUGUGGUUAGAGAUGAUAUGCAAUUGCUGCUUCAAUGGGGUCUUAGAGAAGAAUGUUGAAGUCAUGAAUAUUUUGGUCCUCCAUCCUAAAAGGCUUCACAUGAAGUUGCCUAAGGAUUCUCAAUAUAUUAUGACUUGAAAAUCUACUAUUGCACUGUGAAAGAGGCUGAAAACAUGGGUUUAAAUUUGAAGUGGCUUUAAAGAAUUUGUGGAGAUGAUACAUUUGAUUUAAAAAUUCAAAAACUUAUAACAGAUAUGAAGCAGAACAUGGAACUGGUUGAAAAAGAUAAAAGAUAUGGAAUUGAAGAAAGUUGAGAUUGAAAAUAUUAGAUUCAUGAAGUAGAGGGUCUAUUGAGAUGGGAGACUUUGGAGGUUGAAAAGUGGAAUUGUGCCAUCAGACUGGCAGGCAGAUUCUGGUAAUAUAUUGAAAGUACUUGAUGGAUGGACUAUUUCAAAUGUUCCUUUUAUUGUCUUCUCGUAUUGGAUACAAACCGUGUGCUUUGAGGUUAUUUUCAUUUCUCUCUAAAUGGACCAAAUUUCCCUUUAUACUUGUCUUCUUGAAAGUGGCUGGGUUCUUGGAUUAUUAUCAACCAGUCUUCUUGAAAGUGGCUGGGUUCUUGGAUUAUUAUCAACCAGUCUUGCGUUUGGAUGCAGAUCUCUAAACUUUCUCUGGUGGGUGACAUUUUUGAUAGACAAAGAAACAGUCCUUAUGAGCGUCCUCAUCUAUUUUGCUGAUCAGGGUGUGCAAGUGAGGCUCUUCAUUGAUGACCUCUGUAAAAUGGGAAAACUUGAAGGUUUGAGGUAUACUUUUUGAGAUGAUUGCUUCGCGUCGAAGGUGAGUUGUUCUUCUUGCUAUGUUUGAGAAUUUUGAUAUGGGUAAAUAAUAAUCCUUGUUAUAGGGGAAUAACUGUAUACUUGAAAAAAAUAUAUUUAACUAAAUAAAUCAAAUUAUGAACUCCUGGAAGAUAUCCUAUGUGGCUAUGCCAAACGUUCAAUUUUCCGAUUAAAAUUAACAAAAAUGAGAAUUUUUUUUUUCCUUGUUAUUUUCUUGCAAUGUGUGUGUUGUUAUUGUUUUGAUGAUAUAUAAGAGGCUGUCAGAAUCCCAGCUUAGGCCUUGCACCAGUUAGAAUUUUGAAGGAUUUAAAGUUAUACCCUCUCUAAUAGCUUAAGCUUUUAGAGUAUCCAGGUAAAGUAUUGAAAUCUUAUCGUCACUCUCAUAAUUAAAAUUGAAACACGUGUGGGACCACAAAAGUGAUUCUGUGAUGUUGUGGCCAGAAUUUCGUGCCGGGUCGCGUUGUGAUCGCUCACGACCCGUUGGAUAAGCUUUGUGUGGGCCUAAGCCCAUCAAAGCUCUGGGGGUUAGGGGGCUUGGGCCCAAGGAAAAGUUUUGACCCGGUUUUUUGCUCAUGGGUCAUGGACCCUAAUUAGUCUCUCGUAGCCCGAUAUAUAAGGGUGUUUGGUGUUUGGACUGGUGUAAGAGAGAAUUUGAAAUUCGUAUAGAAACAGAGUGAGGGGCUGAAAAUUUAUAAUCUCCGACUUUACAUAUAGUGAAACUUUUGCCGGAUCUCCACUGUGGACGUAGGGUGUUGCCAAGCCACGUAUAAAUCUUUGUGUUCUUUGUGUGGUGUGUUUACUUUUUUGUUGUGAUUCUUGAUUCUAUCUUGGGUUCGCUGCGUUUGUCAUAACAGAUUCUUUGUAUGAUUUACAAAGAAUCAUACAUGCACCAAUUCAUUGUUUAUUAGUUUUAUUUGAUACUAGGGACACCAAUGUCCAAUUAUUAUAAAGCUAAUGAUUUUUUGCAGAACGUGGAAUUAUUGUUAACACUUCCUAAUUUGCACCAAGUGCAGUCGAUGACAAUAAUUGACAAAUUUGAUGUUGUUGGAAUUCUCCAGGUAAUUAUCUUUUUUAUCUUUUGUGAGAUCAAUUUGAUAUAGAUCCCGUGAUAAAUUGCUUAGUUCUCUUUAGUCUUUACUGCUCUUAUAAAGAGAAUAACCUGCUACAUCUAGUUAAGGGGUGACUAUAGGUCACUGUAAAUUGAAUCAGCUUUUUUUCUUUUCUUUUUUUUUUUUUUUUUUUUUGGGUAAAUUUUUUACAUGGCAUUUGGCACAGCAAUACGGGAAAUUACCAGAUGGAAAUAUAAAAGUAAGUAAAUUGUUGAAAUCAUCACAUACCCUUCAAAUCAUAUGUGAAACACAAUGUUCUCAUUUGCAUUAGAUAUCUAAAGGGCCAAGUAAUUUUUGGUUCUGUGAGACUCAAAUUAGCAAAUGGGACUAUCGUAUCCUAUAGAAGCCCAUGAUGGAUUGAGGGGUAGGAGAUAUAGUUAGUACUUGACAGUGAUUACAUAGUUACGCAUAUCAUUAUUUAUUGGAGAUAGAUUAUUUAACGAGAUAUUUAGUGUAUAAAAUUAGUUACUAUAUUUAUGUUUUGGUUCAUAUUGAUACGCUAUGGAACUUUGGUAACUCGUUGACUCAAAGGUAUAAAUAGUUGUAUUUGGACCUAGGCUUUUACGUGCUUGUGGUUUAUAUUAUUGAUCAGGAAGGAAGUAAUUUUGGGGUGUGACACCGUCAACACUACGCGGGGCAUAAAUUGUCUUAAAGACAUAGUAUUAAAUGCUAGUCUCGACCCAGGUUCUUUAUUUAAUUAUUUGUUAUUAUUAUUUUUUGCAGAUUGAUUAAAUAUUUGAGUUGAAUAUUUAAUUAAUUAUUUUUAGCAUAUUAUUAAUUAUCUCAUAUGCAUAUUAGUAUACUAUUUAUUUAUCUUAACUACCAUGCAAAACAUAUAUUUUUCAAAAAGCUUAAGACAAUUUAUUUCUUGCAUCAACAGGUUAGUAGUCUAGCGGUAUCAGCCUCUUACUUCCCAAAGGGAGGUCAAGUGUUCAAGUCUCAGAAGAGACAUGUAUAUGAGUACCAACUAGGAAAAAAAAAAAAAAAAAGUUAUUUCUUGCGUUGUUUCUAUUAUAUGCUUCUACUUAAGAUACAAAAAAAUAAAGGGAAAAGUGCAAAAAAACCCCCUGAACUAUUGGGAAACUUGCAACUAACCCCCUAAACUAUCAAAAUUGCAAAAAGACCCCUAAACUAUACAAAUUUGUUGCAGAUCACUCCAUCCGGCCACCGACCGUCCAAAAAUGAGCGCGUGAUUGUCACGCGAUAAACAAACUUUAUUUUUCAGACAAUAAUGCCCUUCUGCGACAGGGGAUUGAGGGAGAAAGAGAUGGAAGUGGUGGUGCUGUUCUGGCGACGGCGACGGGUUGAGGUCGGAGGAGGGGUUGGAUUUCCAAUAGUCCAAUACCCACCAAACAAUCCCUAACCCCUUAAAAAAUAAAAAAAACACCAUCCAUAAGGUCGAGAUGAUGAAGAAACACUAAACCAGUACAAGCUGCUAUCCACUGCUGAUGAAGGGGUAUGCCUAGAAUCUUUCAUCCGUACAGUGGCUAUCAAAUUCUAUCUUUCAUCCGUAAAGUGUGAUGGCCAUCAAUUAAAAGGGUUUCUGAAAAUACGCCGGAGCAAUUCGUGCGAACAUCAUCUUCUUCAUUCCUGAUCUGAGAUUAACAGCAGUGGAGGGUUUGUGGUUUCAAUUGGGUUUGACGAUUAGUGGUGUGUGGUUCAGUGUGAAUUAUUUGAGUUUCCAAGCGCAAAAGACCAAUUGCUCUCUCUAGACGGAACUUCUCUCUUUCUUGCUUUAUUUUUGCCUAAAGGAGUGAUGAAACCCGGUCGAAAGGCGGCAAUCUGGUUGCUCAUUGUAUCUCGGUGUGAUACGGUACCAAGUGCUCUGGUCGCUCUAGCUCUUCCUUCUGUCUCUGGUGUGCCAAAUAAAAAGGUGUAAAGCCUUGGUCACCGGAACUUGAAUGCAAGCUCAGAGCUUUCAGUUUUGGGUCUCAUUGAUUUGAGCUAUCGCCGGAACAGUUGAUUGAUGUAGCAUCUUCACCGGACUGAAAUACUCAGUUCUGAAAUAUAGGGAAGCUCACCGGAGGUUGUGGAUGAUGUAAGCUGUGGCCAGAGCUGCCGUAGCUUUUGGUUUGGUCUUUGAACCUCGACGGUGGCCGAUAUCAAUGGUUUGGUUGGUGAUGAUUAGAAUGAAGCUCACCGAACUGUUUUGAUAGAAUGAAGCUUAGCCGGACCUGAAAUUGAGUACGUCGGAAGUAUAGGGUCUGAACUAGACACCGGACCUGAUGGGGCUGUCCACCGCUGCGCUAGCUGAGCUUCUCUUGCUCGCCGGCCUCAGUCCGAAGCCCCCUUGCUCGUCGGCCAUAGUCGAGCUUUCCACCAUCUGAGCAGCAGUUCCUUAUCACAGCCAACCACCGCCGCUGCCGCCACUUCAACUAGCGAGCUCACUGCCGCAGUUCUUCCACGACCGAUUCAAUCCAUCAUCCACAGUCGAUUCAAUCCUGCCGAGCUCGUCGCCGUCGCCAUCAUCCACGGCCGAGCCAUCACAUCGCCGUCGCCAUCAUCCACGGCCGAGCCAUCACAUCACCGUCUUCUCUCCUCAUCUCUCCCUUCUUCUUCUCUCUCUCUCUCUCUCUCUCUCUAUCUAUAUAUAUAUAUAUAUAUCAAUGCUUGUAUAAUUCUCUCUCUCUCUCUCUCUAUAUAUAUAUAUAUAUCAAUGCUUGUAUAAUUCUUCAAACUAUGUCGUUUUAAUUGAGGGUAAUGUGGUCUUUUGGCUUUUCCGGCACCCUAUUGUUAGUUAAGGGGGUUAAAUGCAAAAAUUUGUUAGUUGAAGGGGUUUUUAUGUAGUUCAAGGGAGUUAGUUGCACAACCCUAAUAGUGCAGGGGGGUUUUUUGCACUUUUCCCAAAAAUAAAUGUUAACUAAUAAGUAAUAUAUAUAUAUAUAUAUAUGUAUAUAUAUAUAUAUAUGUAUAUGAUUGAGUAGAAUUAUAUUAUAUCCAUUAUUAUUUGAUUAUAUGUGAUAUGCAUGAUUUAAUGUAAUUCUAAAUAUGAUUGUGUGGAAAAUGCGGUUAUCGUGCCACUAACCGGCACAUUAUUUGGCACCUCGAUGUAUUAUUUAAUACCAACUUAAAAAGGUUUAGUUUAUAUAUCUUGAACUCAACAAGACCGUAAAAGUUGAAGAAAAAACUGAGUUUUUCUUUUUCAAAAAUGCAUUGUUUUUGUCCAAAUUGAAAAGAUUACUACCAUUUAAAAUUCGAAAAAUAUUUCUUGCUUUGUAGGUCGAGAAAAGGAAUUAAACAAGGUAAGUUGCUCUUCUUUUUUCCUUGGAUGUAGAUGAGUUGUGCAAUGUAAAUUUUUUAUUUUUUAUUUACUUUUCUCAUACAAACGAUUAUAUUCAUGUACUCCUUAUUGUUUUUAUUUUUAUAAUUCUUUAGUUUUAUUCAUAUACCCAUCCAUUAACUCUUACUGUUUUUAUCCUUGACUUCUCUUCUCUCUCUUAGAUCUUUUUCAUCAAAGAUUUCAUUACAUUUUAUUACAAUUCUUUUCUUAAUAUAUGUUAAAAAUGAUUAAUGAAGUUUUUCACAACUCAUAUUGCCAUUAAAUUUAGAUAUGCUAUAACAAACUUUGUACAUGAUUGAAGGAAAGAAAACAUUGUAGAUUGACUGCAAUAAUAAGUUGAUUAAGUGAGAUGACCACUUUUCCUACUCUUUUUGGAACUAUUCAUACCCUAAUUUCUAAAAUAUAUCCCUCUAAAAAAGUCAUAAGAUUUACAUGUUACGUAAUUUUAAAAUUUAAAAUUGCCAAAGUACGUAAUUUUAAAAUUUAAAAUUGCCAAAGCUCUUGGACAUUAUUGAAGAGUUCUUUCCAAGGAGAGAACAAAAUAACUUUCACAAUAACUCUUACAUUGAUAAAGUUAUUAAUAACAUUAUUGAUUAUGCAAUACAUUUAUGCUUAACUUCUCAAUUUUUUCAUCUAUAUCAUAACAUUAAAUGGAUCAUCAAUGCGAUAAACGUGGCCUUUAGGCAUAAGUAAUAUUUGUAUUGGAGUUUUCUUUUUUGUAAUUAAAUUAACCAUUGUUACAAGUGUUAAAUUAUUUGGACCAUAAUGCAAUUACAAGUGUUAAAUAAUUUGUUCUUAAAUAUAAUUGUUAUAUAUAUAAUAGAAAUUGUUGUGUGUGUGUAUAUAUAUCUAGAGGGAGAGAGAGAGAGAGAAAGGAGCGGCAAAAAUGUAACACCCCUGAUUUUGAAUUAGGUUUUAAAUCGUUAAGUGACUUUAUUUGGGAUUUUUUUUAAUCAUUUGCUAGAAUUGUGGGGCACAAGUGUGAUUUGUAUACAUUCUUAGGAGUUAUAUUAGAGGCUAUUGUGGACUAUCUAAUUAAUUGUCGAGAUUGUAGAAUUUGUGGAAGAUGUAGUAGAUUGUGAGGUGGCAUCUCCGUGUCAACAAGGGGACAGUUGUCUUGAUCAUAAACUCUUUCCUCAUGCACUUAGACACGUGUCUACCACACCACUACACCUGUUGUUAUUUCUCAUGUACUUAUAUGCAUCAUAUGAGAAAGAGGAAUACAAGAAAAGCAGAGAGUGAAGAGAGAACCGAGAAAGAGAUAGAGGGGUUCAACUACUAGAGAGAGAGAGAAGAAGAAGAAGAAAAAGAAGAGGAAGAGGAAGACAAGGAAACGGGAAAUCUGUAGAUUAUCGUUAUCACAAUCGUCGUCUCACCAUUUCACUUUCAUGUUUAAUUGAGGUAGAGAUUAUUCUAAUAUGUAGCCCUUUGAGUGAUUUUACUUAAAUUCUUCUCGAUUAAUGUUUAGUUAUGUUCUAAAUGUUCAUUACAUUUUGACCUAAUCUUGAGAACUUGCUCUAUAUUUGGAAUCAUCAUUAAACUAUACUCUUUUACCGAAGAAGCAUGAAAUUAUACAUCUUAUACUUUGCUCGUGAUCUUAAUUUUCAUAUAUAGCAUGUUUCUAAUUAUUGGAACCUUUCCAUUGCUGUUAUGAACUUGUGCACAAAACCUCUUAGAGGUGCUUGUUAGAUCUUUCCUAAUGGGCUUAGUCUCAUCUGCCAUAUUUUCAGGUACCCAAAGAUGAUUUAGAGAUAUCGAAAGUUGUUAUGGCUGAUUUAUUUCUUUGCAGAAUCUCCAUAUCAAAAGUUGUUAUUGCUUUGUUGGUAGCGAAAAAGGAAUUUAGGGAACAUCCCCUCGCUCUUUUUGCUCAAUCACCUCAUGGAGCAAGUCAUCCUCAUUCUUCUGAUAAAAAAUCAGCUUACUGCAAUGCCUACUCAAUGAGAUGUGAUGGAUUCGUUUUCGGUGGUUCCGAAUGUAAAUUUGACCUGGACGUUAAUUGUGCUUACACUGGUGCCCACUACAACCACUGUGCUAGUGAGCAACAAACUCACCCGCAUCCAUUGAUUCCUUGUGAUAUGAAAGGCCCCUUUCAGCCACCGCAUCCUCUACAACUCCACAGGAGCAGGCAUAUGCUGACGGAAUUAAGCGCUUGAAAAUAAUGGUUUCCAAAGUACAGGAUAUUGAUCCGCCAAAGUUGCCUUCAGCUACUGUGGAGUUAUCUGCAUGUAAAUUUGGUCCGUCAUUGAAGAAGUCAAACAUGACAAGUGAAGAAUACGAGAAUGCAGUACUGCAAGCGAAAGAGCAUACUCUAGCAGGGGAUAUUUUCCAGGUUGUAUUAAGUCAACGGUUUGAACGCCGAAGAUUUGCUGAUCCUUUUGAAGUCUAUAGAGCACUAAGACUCGUCAACCCUAGUCCCUAUAUGACCUCUUUGCAAGUUUGUUCCUUCCUAAAACUAUAUAAACUUGAUCGAGUUGUUCAAUAUGUUUUGCGAGUAUUUGAUUUCCAUGUUAUUAGGCUAGGGGCUGAAUUUUGCAAUUUUGUCUCUCUGUCUCUCUCUCCCCCCAUUUAGAGAUGGACAAGAAACCCCCAUUGUCACCGCAUUAUAUAGGAGGCAACUACUAUGGGGAAGCUGCAGCCAACUUCCAAGCAUGAGAGAGUGGCAUCAUUCAUCCCUCUGGAGUUUCUUAAUGAACCAAAAACCCACACUCCUAAUCAGUUAAACAUAGCUAGGGUCUGUACCUAUUAUUUAUUUUUCUUAAUCUUUUCUUUUUUUAUAUACUUUUUUGUUUUCUUUUGAUUUUGAUUUUAUGUUCUCUUUAAAGUAAGUUUAAUUUUUAGUUUUAGUAAUUAUUGCUUGUUAAUUUGCCAGUUAGUUUUAGGUUUGUGUCUAAUUUUCAAGAAUUUAUUUAUUUUAAGCAACCUGUACUUACAUUAUAUAUAUAUCGGAUCUGGCCGCCACGUUGUCUCUGCCAUUAUAUAUAUAUAUAUAUAUAUAUUAUAUUUUAAAAUAGAAGAGGUUCUUGUAGUUGAGAAAAUAAAGUCUUGCUGCAAAAAAUAAAAAAUAAAAAAAAUAAAAUAAAAUAAUAAAAAGAGAGAAAAGAAUGAGACUGGCAAUUGAGGAAAAAGAAAGGAAUCUCAAGCUUCAGUGGAGUCAUUAACCAGAUGAUGCAAACAUACCAAUAUUUGUGUUUCUCCAUCUUCUUUCCGAUCUCAGGGCAAUAAUCAUUCCAAACCUCUACAAUUGGGCAGUCAAGUUAUUCAUGUAAAUAAAUCACCAGUCAAUCUCACCCUUCCCUGUAGAUAGCAGGAGAUAUGGGUUAGAACAAAUCACAUUCUCUCCCUUCCCCACUCCCUCCUCCCACUGUACCACCUAGCCUAAUCCCAUACCAUGCUUGGCUCUCAUCUUACCCUUGAAAAGAACCAGGUCUCAACCACCAAUGUUGUGAUGACCGUAUCUUCUUUUCUUUCUUCAUCAUUUUUGUUUAUUUUAUUUUAUUUUAUUUCUUUUCCGUCUUCGGGUCAUGUGAGCCCAAGACCGAGUCAAGUGUUCGGGAAUGGUUUCCAACACUUCAUUCAUUUCAUCCUCGCAUAUUUUAUUCUCAUGUCAUUAUGGAUUUAUAUUGCACUUGUAAGCAUUUUUAACUCUUGUUAUUUGGGUGUAUUUGUGCGAUUAUGUUUUGGGGACAUUUUUAUUUUUGGGGUUAUUUGUGUGAAUAUCUUUUGAAGAUAUUUUCAUUUGGGGCAAUGGUGUGAUUAUCUUAUAGAUAUAUUAUUUGGAUGGUCUUUUGUGCAAUUAAGGGAAAGUUGGGACAAGUGUCUUGUUUUAAUUGGACCAUGUGUUGAAGGGGAUUGGUGACAUGUGGAGAGCUAAGAUGAUGACAAGUGGAGGGUGUGGAUGGUGG